GCUCGGGGAGCAAUUCAACAGGCUCCAGACCUGUGGCCAAUACGAGCUGCAGAGGGGGAACUGAAGGUUCCUGCCAGUGCUAAUGAUGCCAAUUGGAGCCUCUGGCAGAAGUAGGGUAGGAAGGAAGUGCCCUUAGGAUUUGGGAAUAGGAAGUUACUGGAAGCCAGCCCAAGAUAGACCCUGUUGGAGAAGCGGCUCUGAAACCUGUGGAUCCUGGCCAUCCUCACAGCCCUUGUGGUCCCUCUGGGCGAUGCUGUUGGCCCGGGCAGUUCCCUGGAAAAGGUGCCUGGGUCGGGUGCCUUGGUUUGAUUUGGAUGGAGAUGGAAAAGCAGCUCCAAACCAGGACCCCAGGACAAGGUGACGUGGGAAGCAAAUGGCCCUUGCCCAGGGGUCAGUGUCCCUUUGUGCCCGGGGGGACUCUCUGGCAGGGCCGGGGUCUGUCGGGCUCAUUGUGCGGGCGGCUGUUGGUGCCCUCAGUGGGAUUGGAUGGAUGUGAUUCCAGGGGCUGGGAGCACUGUUGCCAUGCAGUGCUGUAGUUUCCCUUACGGUGCCGGGUCCGGGGGGGUCUCC